rnacentral:rRNA from 1 species
CCAAAGUGUAGCUUAAACAAAGCAUCUGGCUUACACCCAGGAGAUUUCACACACAUGACCACUUUGAACCCAGAGCUAGCCCGAACGACAACCAAUUAAACUAUCACAAACCAAUCAGAUAAAACAUUCAGCAACACAAUUAAAGUAUAGGAGAUAGAAAUUCUUUUAACCGGAGCUAUAGAGAAAGUACCGCAAGGGAACGAUGAAAGAUUACUUAAAGGAAUAAACAGCAAAGAUUACUUCUUUUACCUUUUGCAUAAUGAGUUAGCUAGAAACAACUUAGCAAAGAGAACUUAAGCUAAGCCCCCCGAAACCAGACGAGCUACCUAUGAACAAUCCACUGGGAUGAACUCAUUUAUGUCGCAAAAUAGUGAGAAGAUUCAUAGGUAGAGGUGAAAAGCCUAACGAGCCUGGUGAUAGCUGGUUGCCCAGAAUAGAAUUUUAGUUCAACUUUAAAUUUGCCUAUAAACCUAAAAAUUUUAAUGCAAGUUUAAAAUAUAUUCUAAAAAGGUACAGCUUUUUAGAACUAAGGAUACAGCAUUGCUU